GUUUGAUCCUGGCUCAGAAUCAACGCUGGCGGCGCGCUUAACACAUGCAAGUCGCACGAGAAAGCCCGCAAGGGUGAGUAAAGUGGCGUACGGGUGAGUAACACGUGGAUCAUCUACCUUUUAGUGGGGAAUACCUCUUGGAAACGGGAGACAAUACCGCAUAAGCUCGAGAGAGGAAAGCAGCAAUGCGCUGAAAGAGGAGUCCGCGGCUGAUUAGCUAGAUGGCGGGGUAACGGCCCACCAUGGCGAAGAUCGGUAGCCGGCCUGAGAGGGCACACGGCCACACUGGCACUGAAACACGGGCCAGACUCCUACGGGAGGCAGCAGUGGGGAAUCUUGCACAAUGGGGGAAACCCUGAUGCAGCGACGCCGCGUGAGCGAUGAAGCCCUUCGGGGUGUAAA
rnacentral:rRNA from 1 species